ensembl:lncRNA
CAUUUAUCUCACAUACCUCCUGCUUCUAGAAGAUUCCUCCUGGAUAGCGGCAGUCUGAUGUCAAAACAACCGCCAUGCUGCAUCCUUAACCAAAUAACAUAAAUAAACCAAAAUUACUCAUUAGCGGUGGUUGCGAAGACAAACAUCACUGCAGUUUCUCGUACUAAGAGAUCGAGUCCCACCGUCCAGUGUCCAGCAGGGUCACAUAGUUCCCUUAUCAGGACAGACUGAAACUCUACUGUACUGACCACCUGUACUUCAGACGCUAAGAGAGAUCCUUGAGAACGAAUCUUCGAGGUGCUGUUGCAGCUUUUGGGCCACUGUGGUUCAUAAACAAUUACUGGUAAUGUUCUCGUAACCUAUUUUUAACAACAAAUGCAUAAAUCAGAUCAUCAUUUUUCAUCAUAGCUAUCUUUGUGGGCCAUCUUGGCACGCCUGGU